rnacentral:rRNA from 1 species
UACGUAGGAGGCAAGCGUUGUCCGGAAUUACUGGGCGUAAAGCGCGUGUAGGUGGUGGGACAAGUCUGCUGUGAAAGCGCCUGGCUUAACCGGGCGAGGUCGGCGGAAACUGUCCGACUAGAGGACGGUAGAGGGGGGUGGAAUUCCCGGUGUAGUGGUGAAAUGCGUAGAGAUCGGGAGGAACACCUGUGGCGAAGGCGGCCCCCUGGGCCGGCCCUGACGCUGAAGCACGAAAGCGUGGGGAGCAAACAGG